UGGGGAAUUUUGGACAAUGGGGGAAACCCUGAUCCAGCCAUCCCGCGUGUGCGAUGAAGGCCUUCGGGUUGUAAAGCACUUUUGGCAGGAAAGAAACGUCGCGGGUUAAUACCCCGCGAAACUGACGGUACCUGCAGAAUAAGCACCGGCUAACUACGUGCCAGCAGCCGCGGUAAUACGUAGGGUGCAAGCGUUAAUCGGAAUUACUGGGCGUAAAGCGUGCGCAGGCGGUUCGGAAAGAAAGAUGUGAAAUCCCAGAGCUUAACUUUGGAACUGCAUUUUUAACUACCGGGCUAGAGUGUGUCAGAGGGAGGUGGAAUUCCGCGUGUAGCAGUGAAAUGCGUAGAUAUGCGGAGGAACACCGAUGGCGAAGGCAGCCUCCUGGGAUAACACUGACACUCAUGCACGAAAGCGUGGGGAGCAAACAGGAUUAGAUACCCUGGUAGUCCACGCCCUAAACGAUGUCAACUAGCUGUUGGGGCCUUCGGGCCUUGGUAGCGCAGCUAACGCGUGAAGUUGACCGCCUGGGGAGUACGGUC
rnacentral:rRNA from 1 species